CAUCUCUACUACCCACUGUCUACAAAGUGGUGUGGGGUGUGGGUACUGCAAAAAGUGGUUUAAAUGUUGUUGCCACGGCCAAACUGACGAUGCGCCGCGUCCGCUGAGCCUCGUGUCCGCACCCGUGAGAUCCGUGAUCCCCAGGUCCGAGCUCUGGGCACCCGGAAAACACAACGAGCACAGAUUCCGACUGUUUUCGGUUUCGUUUUCAGUUGGUUUGCAUAGGCAGACCAGGCAAACAAACAAACAAACACAUAGAAGCAUCGGGCUUAUACUAUACCAACGCGAAAAUAGGAUAAACGGAAGGCGGAGAAGUAGAUAGACAUCCUCUCGUUCCCUCUGAUUGCGAAUCAGUUCAGUUCAGCGCGCCAUGUCGCAGGUGCUCAGCCCCCACAAACAAGGCGUGGCGGAGGCGGACGGGCUGGACUACACCAACAGCAGCUCAAUCAUCGAGUUCCUGGCCAAGGAGCAGGACUGCGGCGGAAUACUGACCGAUCCGGACCCGGAGUCCAUAUUCCAGGAGGUUAGCCGCCUGUCCGACAGCACGGACAUGCGAUCCGUGGAUGAACUGCUGCAGGAAGCGGAGCGUCUGAUCCAACAGCAGUUGCGUCUCGGCGGUAUGGCCCCGGAAAUGGAUGGUUCCGGGCCUCUUGUUCCGCCCAAAUCCCUCGUCGGAGAAGCUUCCACCUGUGGUGAUGGCUCCUCCUCAUCCCCGCAAUCCUCGCCGCACAGCAGCAUACGGCUGAAUACACGCUAUACCCAUCGCAUCGAGCAUUUGCCCGCUCCCUUGCCGCCAAAAACCGUCGUAGUCAAUGGCAGGAACAGGCCCAGAUCCGGUUCCAAAUCGUCGGCCUCGCCCACAUCCGUGCAGACGCCGCUUGAGAGCAGCAAUGGCUGUGGAUUUGCCGCCUUCGUGGAUAACCUGCCAUCGGAGUCGGUCAUUUCCGAGGAGUCCACGCCCAAGGACAUGGACAUGGAGAACCAUACGGCGGCCUUGGCGCAGCUACAACUCCAGCUCCAGGAUAAUACCGAUGACGACGAGGAUACGAUGGAGGAGAUCACCGAGGCGGAGGUGGACGCCCCCACUUUUUCGCGGCCUGAGGACACUGGCAACUCGGUGAGGAGUCCUCCUGGCAGGCUGUCCAAUGGUCAAGGGCAGUCUUACAGCAAGCCCAGUCAGUCCAGUCAGCCCAUUCGACCAAUGGCCAGCUACAGCGAGAAGGCGGUGGGCAGCUCACCCAAGCGCAUGGUCAGCACCUUGACCUCACCCAUCGAGCAGAUCGCUUGCAGUGUUUCCCGGGAGCAUGCGCUCAAGCUGGAGAUCGAGCAGCUGCAGGAGCGCCUCAAGGACACCGAGGAGCGACUGGCCUCCGUUCGCCUGCAGAGCGACUCGCUGUCGCAGACGCAGCGUGCGCUCCGGGAGCACAACAGCCGGCUGCAGGAGGAGUCCGAGAUGCUCAAGCUGGAUGUGCAGCAUCUCAAUGAGUGCGCCAAUGUCUUGAGGGCGGAACUGCAAGCGGCUCGCCGCGAUCGUGGUGAGGCGCUCCAAAUGCAGCGCUCCCUGCGCGAGGAACUCGAGGAGGCGCACCAGGAGCGGCGGCGAACCGGGGAGGGCAAGGAGAAGGACAGCCGCGUCAUUCAGGACCUGCAGCGCCAGUGCCGCGAGAUGGAGCGGAUACUCAUGCGCAAGCAUCCGGACUCCGUGUCCGCGCUGAUAGUGGCGUCCAAGAGUCCGGGCAUGUGUCCGCUAAACGACCAGGAGAACUUAACCAGUCGCAAGCUGCUGGAGCAGCGCAUUGCCCAGCUGGAAUCUGAUGCCAAGGAGCAGGAUCGUAAGGCGCAACAGAUUCUGGCCAAUGUCCAGGCGCGCUUCAACUCGGUGCAAGCCAAAUAUGAGACGCACAUCGCGGACCUGGAGACGCAGGUUCUUAGCCUUCAGGAGAUCAACACGAAGCUGAACGAGCAGAUAGAAUCGCAGGUGCGCACCUUGGAUCGCUAUAUGCAAAAGCGGGCGGAUAGGUACUACAACAAUUGCACCCAAACGGAGCCAUUGGAGGAUGAUGGAUCAGUCGGCGGUGGUCUGAACCACGGAAGAGCUACCCCAGUCAGCUCGACCACAAUGGGCACCCAAACACAGGCGGCAAAUGGAACGCGGGAUCACAGUACCAAUACCAUUGGCUGCCCCUCGCCGGCGCUCGUGUGCCAGCAGCAACACCUCCAUCCAGCGCAUGGCCACCUCCAUCCACAUGCACCGUCCGCAAGCAGCAGCACCAGCAGCACGGCCAAUUCCACGCCGAACACGUCGCGUCCGAAUUCGAAGCAAAGUGGCGGUCAAAGGCGUUCGCCACUGGUCACCGCCGGCCCCUCCAAGCUGCCCAUCUCGCAGUCGGACUCGACGCUCUCACUGCUCAGCCAUGGCGGCGGAGGAUCCAAGGAGGAGGCACAAUUGCUCAGCUCCGUGCGGAGCAUGCGCGUCGAUCUGGCCAUCAAAAACAAGGCAAUGCAGCGUCUUACGCGGGAGCUGGAUGAAUGCAAGAAGACCAUACGGAAGCUGCAGCGGGACAGGGAGGCUAGUGGCUCUGGCAGCCAGCCAGGCAGCAAACUGGAUCUGCGGUCCCAGGCCAGCGGCGGAUCCCUGCAGAGGCGCUCCAGUGGCUACGAUCACCAUCACCACAGUGACCACAUUCCGGCGGCCACCGAAAGUCAGGCUCUGAAGGAGGCCCAAAACAAGUACCGCCUGCUGGAGGCCGACUAUAAAACCCUUCACGACAAGCGGCUGCAGGAUCUGAAGACCCUGCAGAGUGCCCACGAAAGGGAACUGGCCUCGUGCAACGAGACUGUGCGGAUCCUGCAGCAGCGCCUCAACGAGCGGGAAGAGGCUCUGACCACCCAGAAGCGGCGCAAGGUGCCCGUGGAUUACUAUGCCCUGAAAGCCAAGGUACAGAAGCCAAAGCAUAAGGCAUAAAGCAUAAAGCUCCCUGAAACAAUCAAGAUCUAUUGCAAGUUCAAGAACAUCCAGAAGAAGUCAAGUAUCGCUGUUGGAGAGGAGACACUCGGAGCGGGAGGAGAGACUGCAUAUGCUGGUGGAGGCGCUCAGCAAAGGACGGCUCAAUGGUGCA
rnacentral:misc_RNA from 1 species